GAUGAACGCUGGCGGCGUGCCUAAUACAUGCAAGUCGAGCGAACGGACGAGAAGCUUGCUUCUCUGAUGUUAGCGGCGGACGGGUGAGUAACACGUGGAUAACCUACCUAUAAGACUGGGAUAACUUCGGGAAACCGUAGCUAAUACCGGAUAAUAUUUUGAACCGCAUGGUUCAAAAGUGAAAGACGGUCUUGCUGUCACUUAUAGAUGGAACCGCGCUGCAUUAGCUAGGUGGUAAGGUAACGGCUUACCAAGGCAACGAUGCAUAGCCGACCUGAGAGGGUGAUCAGCCACACUGGAACUGAGCCACGGUCCAGACUCCUACGGGAGGCAGCAGUAGGGAAUCUUCCACAAUGGGCGAAAGCCUGACGGAGCAACGCCGCGUGCGUGAUGAAGGUCUUCGGAUCGUAAAACUCUGUUAUUAGGGAAAAACAUAUGUGUAAGUAACUGUGCACAUCUUGACGGUACCUAAUCAGAAAGCCACGGCUAACUACGUG
rnacentral:rRNA from 1 species